rnacentral:rRNA from 1 species
UACGUAGGGGGCAAGCGUUGUCCGGAAUCAUUGGGCGUAAAGCGCGUGUAGGCGGUUACGUAAGUCUGCUGUGAAAGUCGGAGGCUCAACCUUCGAAAGCCGGUGGAUACUGCGUGACUAGAGUACGGAAGAGGCGAGUGGAAUUCCUGGUGUAGCGGUGGAAUGCGCAGAUAUCAGGAGGAACACCAAUAGCGAAGGCAGCUCGCUGGGACGGUACUGACGCUAAGGCGCGAAAGCGUGGGGAGCGAACAGG